rnacentral:snRNA from 1 species
GUGCUCACUUUGGCGCACAUAAACUAAAAUUGAACAAUACAGAGAAGAUCAGCACAGCCCUACACAAGGUCACACCCAAAUUCAUAAAGUGCUUGUAGUGCUU